CUUUGGAAAACUUUUUUGGCACUAUCAGGCAGCAAGGGGGUAAUAAUGACAAUCCAACUCCAGUCCAGUUUACAAGGGCAUUCAGGAAACUCUUUUUUAGCUCCCUUCUCACUUCCUCAGCUGGAAACUGUGCAGCCGACUUCGACGUCAUGCUGGCUGAGUACACCAAUGCUAAGAACAAAACAACAGAGCCCAGUGAAACUCCACAGCCCCAAACCUUGGCAAUAGGUCCUACAGACUACAGGGAGCCAGAAGUUAGCACAAACAUUAUACAAGACAAUGCAAUUGCUUACGUCGC
rnacentral:lncRNA from 1 species